CUGGUCGGACACGACUGGCGAGGGUGGGUCACCACCGGGGAGUGAAGCCGGGACAUCGACCGCCUGGGUGGCCUCA
rnacentral:ncRNA from 2 species